GACGAACGCUGGCGGCGUGCCUAACACAUGCAAGUCGAACGGAAAGGCCCUGCUUUUGUGGGGUGCUCGAGUGGCGAACGGGUGAGUAACACGUGAGUAACCUGCCCUUGACUUUGGGAUAACUUCAGGAAACUGGGGCUAAUACCGGAUAGGAGCUCCUGCUGCAUGGUGGGGGUUGGAAAGUUUCGGCGGUUGGGGAUAGACUCGCGGCUUAUCAGCUUGUUGGUGGGGUAGUGGCUUACCAAGGCUUUGACGGGUAGCCGGCAUGGGAGGGCGACCGGCGACAUUGGGACUGGGUUACGGCCCAGACUCGUACGGGAGGCUGGAGUUGGGAAUAUUGCGCAAUGGGCGGAAGCCUGAUGGAGCAACGCGGCGUGCGGGAUGACGGCCUUCGGGAUGUAAGCCGCUGUCGCCUGUGACGGAGCGUGAGUGACGGGAAUGGGUAAAGAAGCACCGGCUAACUACGUGCCAGCCGCCGCAGUAC
rnacentral:rRNA from 1 species